rnacentral:rRNA from 1 species
GUUAAGCGACUAAGCGUACACGGUGGAUGCCCUGGCAGUCAGAGGCGAUGAAGGACGUGCUAAUCUGCGAUAAGCGUCGGUGAGGUGAUAUGAACCGUUAUAACCGGCGAUUUCCGAAUGGGGAAACCCAGUGUGUUUCGACACACUAUCAUUAACUGAAUCCAUAGGUUAAUGAGGCGAACCGGGGGAACUGAAACAUCUAAGUACCCCGAGGAAAAGAAAUCAACCGAGAUUCCCCCAGUAGCGGCGAGCGAACGGGGAGGAGCCCAGAGCCUGAAUCAGUGUGUGUGUUAGUGGAAGCGUCUGGAAAGGCGUGCGAUACAGGGUGACAGCCCCGUACACAAAAAUGCACAUAUUGUGAGCUCGAUGAGUAGGGCGGGACACGUGGUAUCCUGUCUGAAUAUGGGGGGACCAUCCUCCAAGGCUAAAUACUCCUGACUGACCGAUAGUGAACCAGUACCGUGAGGGAAAGGCGAAAAGAACCCCGGCGAGGGGAGUGAAAAAGAACCUGAAACCGUGUACGUACAAGCAGUGGGAGCCUCUUAAUGGGGUGACUGCGUACCUUUUGUAUAAUGGGUCAGCGACUUAUAUUCUGUAGCAAGGUUAACCGAAUAGGGGAGCCGAAGGGAAACCGAGUCUUAACUGGGCGUUAAGUUGCAGGGUAUAGACCCGAAACCCGGUGAUCUAGCCAUGGGCAGGUUGAAGGUUGGGUAACACUAACUGGAGGACCGAACCGACUAAUGUUGAAAAAUUAGCGGAUGACUUGUGGCUGGGGGUGAAAGGCCAAUCAAACCGGGAGAUAGCUGGUUCUCCCCGAAAGCUAUUUAGGUAGCGCCUCGUGAAUUCAUCUCCGGGGGUAGAGCACUGUUUCGGCAAGGGGGUCAUCCCGACUUACCAACCCGAUGCAAACUGCGAAUACCGGAGAAUGUUAUCACGGGAGACACACGGCGGGUGCUAACGUCCGUCGUGAAGAGGGAAACAACCCAGACCGCCAGCUAAGGUCCCAAAGUCAUGGUUAAGUGGGAAACGAUGUGGGAAGGCCCAGACAGCCAGGAUGUUGGCUUAGAAGCAGCCAUCAUUUAAAGAAAGCGUAAUAGCUCACUGGUCGAGUCGGCCUGCGCGGAAGAUGUAACGGGGCUAAACCAUGCACCGAAGCUGCGGCAGCGACACUAUGUGUUGUUGGGUAGGGGAGCGUUCUGUAAGCCUGUGAAGGUGGCCUGUGAGGG